rnacentral:rRNA from 1 species
UACGGGGGGGGCAAGCGUUGUUCGGAAUUACUGGGCGUAAAGGGUUGGAAGGUGGCCAACUAAGUCAGACGUGAAAUCCCUCAGCUUAACUGGGGAACUGCGUCUGAGACUGAUUGGCUCGAGGACAGGAGAGGAACGCGGAAUUCCAGGUGUAGCGGUGAAAUGCGUAGAUAUCUGGAGGAACACCGGUGGCGAAGGCGGCGUUCUGGACUGUUUCUGACACUGAAUAACGAAAGCCAGGGGAGCAAACGGG